UACGUAGGGACCGAGCGUUGUCCGGAAUCAUUGGGCGUAAAGAGCGUGUAGGCGGCUGACCAAGUCCUGCGUGAAAUCUUGCGGCUCAACCGCAAGCGGUCGUGGGAAACUGGUCGGCUAGAGUGCGGGAGAGGAGACUGGAAUUCCCGGUGUAGCGGUGAAAUGCGCAGAUAUCUGGAGGAACACCCGUGGCGAAGGCG
rnacentral:rRNA from 1 species